AAUAAAUUAAAACUUUCAACAACGGAUCUCUUGGUUCUGGCAUCGAUGAAGAACGCAGCGAAAUGCGAUAAGUAAUGUGAAUUGCAGAAUUCAGUGAAUCAUCGAAUCUUUGAACGCACAUUGCGCCCGCCAGUAUUCUGGCGGGCAUGCCUGUUCGAGCGUCAUUUC
rnacentral:rRNA from 1 species